rnacentral:rRNA from 1 species
UACGAAGGGGGCUAGCGUUGCUCGGAAUCACUGGGCGUAAAGGGUGCGUAGGCGGGGGUUUAAGUCAGGGGUGAAAUCCUGGAGCUCAACUCCAGAACUGCCUUUGAUACUGAGGAUCUUGAGUCCGGGAGAGGUGAGUGGAACUGCGAGUGUAGAGGUGAAAUUCGUAGAUAUUCGCAAGAACACCAGUGGCGAAGGCGGCUCACUGGCCCGGUACUGACGCUGAGGUGCGAAAGCGUGGGGAGCAAACAGG